AGUUCGAUUAUGGCUCAGAUUGAACGCUGGCGGGAUGCUUUACACAUGCAAGUCGAACGGCAGCACGGACUUCGGUCUGGUGGCGAGUGGCGAACGGGUGAGUAAUGUAUCCGGAACGUGCCUAGUAGCGGGGGAUAACUACGCGAAAGCGUAGCUAAUACCGCAUACGCCCCUUCGGGGGAAAGCGGGGAGACCUUCGGGCCUCGCACUAAUAGAAAGCGGCCGAUAUCAGGUUGGCUAGUUGGUGGGGUAGCGGCUCUGGGCGACGAUCCCGUAGCUGGUUUGAGAGGACGACCGAAGCACAGGACUGAGAUUUUUGGCCCGAACUCCUACGGAGAGCAGCAGUGGGGAAUUUUGGACAAUGGGGGAAACCCUGAUCCAGCCAUCCCGCGUGUGCGAUGAAGGCCUUCGAUUUGUAAAGCACUUUUGGCAGGAAAGAAACGGCACGGGAUAAUACCCCGUGCAACUGACGACACCUGCAGAAUAAGCGCAAGCUAACUACGUGCCAGCAGCCGCGGUGUGCAUGGUGCGGCGUUAAUCGGAAUUACUGGGCGUAAAGCGUGCGCAGGCGGUUUGAAGAAGAUCGUAAAAUCCCAGAGCUUAACUUUGGAACUGCAUUUUUAACUACCGAGCUGAAGAGUGUGUCAGAGGAGGUGGAAUUCCGCGUGUAGCAGUGAAAUGCGUAGAUAUGCGGAGAACACCACGAUGGCGAAGGCAACCUCCUGGGAUAACACUGACGCUCAUGCAGCGUGGGAGCAAACAGGAUUAGAUACCCUGGUAGUCCACGCCUAAACGAUGUCAACUAGCUGUUGGGGCCUUCGGGCCUUGGUAGCGCAGCUAACGCAGUUGACCGCCUGGGAGAGUACGGUCGCAAGAUUAAAACUCAAAAGGAAUUGACGGGGACCCGCACAAGCGGUGGAUGAUGUGGAUUAAUUCGAUGCAGCAUGAAGAACGCACUACCCUUGACAUGUCUGGAAUCACGAAGAGAUUUGAGAUAUGUAAGAGGAACAGAUUUUGAAUGCUGCAUGGCUGUCGUCAUCGUGUCGUGAGAUCUUGGAUUGAUCCGCAACGAGCGCAACCCUUGUGUUGGUUAUACGAGGCACUCUAUUAGGGCCAUGAUGACAAUGGAGGAAGGUGGGGAUGACGUCAGUCCUCUUAUUCCACUUAUCGGGUAGGGCUUCACACGUCAUACAAUGGUGGGACGAGAAGUUGCCCAACCCGCGAGGGGGUAAUCCCAGAAACCCGAUCGUAGUCCGGAUCGCAGUCUGCAACUCGACUGCGUGAAGUCCGGAAUCGCUAGUAAUCGCGGAUCAGCAUGUCGCGGUGAAUACGUUCCCGGGUCUUGUACACACCGCCCGUCACACCAUGGGAGUGGGUUUUACCAGAAGUAGUUAGCCUAACCGUAAGGAGGGCGAUUACCACGGUAGGAUUCAUGACUGGGGUGAAGUCGUAACAAGGUAG
rnacentral:rRNA from 1 species